UGAGUAAACCGUAUAAAACUCAGGGUACAC
rnacentral:piRNA from 1 species